rnacentral:tRNA from 1 species
GGGCGCUUAGCUCAGUUGGUUAGAGCAUCUGCCUUACAAGCAGAGGGUCGGGGGUUCGAGUCCCUCAGCGCCCACCA